rnacentral:rRNA from 1 species
GACCCCAUGGAGCUUCAAACCCAACUUCACCCCUAAUUCUUAUAACCACUAAACCCUUAGGGCCCUACAUCGUUGGUUUUAGGUUGGGGCGACCACGGAGUAUAACAAAACCUCCGCAAUGAACGGGACUCUUCCCUUAUCUAAGAGAUACACCUCUAAGAAUUAAAAUAUUAACAUAAAAUGAUCCAUCUUUGAUCAAUGAACUAAGUUACCCUGGGGAUAACAGCGCAAUCCACUUCAAGAGCCCCUAUCGACAAG